AUUGAACGCUGGCGGCAUGCCUUACACAUGCAAGUCGAACGGUAACAGGUUAAGCUGACGAGUGGCGAACGGGUGAGUAAUGUAUCGGAACGUGCCCAGUCGUGGGGGAUAACUGCUCGAAAGAGCAGCUAAUACCGCAUACGACCUGAGGGUGAAAGCGGGGGAUCGCAAGACCUCGCGCGAUUGGAGCGGCCGAUAUCAGAUUAGGUAGUUGGUGAGGUAAAGGCUCACCAAGCCGACGAUCUGUAGCUGGUCUGAGAGGACGACCAGCCACACUGGGACUGAGACACGGCCCAGACUCCUACGGGAGGCAGCAGUGGGAAAUUUUGGACAAUGGGCGCAAGCCUGAUCCAGCCAUGCCGCGUGCGGGAAGAAGGCCUUCGGGUUGUAAACCGCAUUUGUCAGGGAAGAAAAGGUUCUGGCUAAUACCCGGGACUCAUGACGGUACCUGAAGAAUAAGCACCGGCUAACUACGUG
rnacentral:rRNA from 1 species